GGCCGAGCACAUGGGCCCGCGGGCCGGGCGGGCUCGGGGCGGCCGGGACGAGGAGGGGCGACGACGAGCUGCGAGCAAAGAUGUGCCCCGGGACCCCCGGCACCUUCCAGUGGAUUUCCUUGCGGAAAGGAUGUUGGCGGUCCCUGUGACCUGUGGAGACACGGCCAGAUCUGCCCUCCAAAUCCUGUUACACCUGGGAUUUAGGCACUUUCAAUCUGAAAAAAUACAUAUCCUUUCAGCACUCUGGACGGACUUGAGAACUGUCCUUACGUGACCUAAAGCUGGAGUAUUUUGAGAUUGGAGAAUUAAGGCCAACAGAGAUUUUGAGAAACACAUUGAAGGAUCUGUUAACACUUGAUAUACCCAAUAAAAGCAGUGGUUGUGCCAGUGCUGAUCUGUCUUGAUGUGAAUGUGAACAAUGGGAACCUGAGCUGAGCAGUUAAUGUUAGGGUGACAGAAACUGGACCUCUCCCAAGACAUGUGACAGAGUAAUACAGCAGCCAACUUCUUCGCCAAAUUAAAGUUUUACAAGAUUUAACCUGUCAUCAAGACCUGGGAUUUUGGUGGACAGAAUAACGGGCUCCCAGAUUCACAAGCCCCACCAAGAGGAUCACCCCAGGAAUGCUUGGAGGCUGAGGAGUUCACUGAGGCUACUGCAUCUUGAGACUCAGGAUGAAGACCCAGCUUGGGGCUGUCAAAGGUUUUUUGCAUGUCUGACACCCAUGACUCCACCUGGACCUUAUGGCUCCACCCAGAAGCAAUUCAGCCCAACAGGAGGACAGCUUCAACCCAUUACGAUUUCAUCUCUGCCCCAACCACUCAGCAGCAAGCACCUGUUACCUGUCCAUCCCCACCCCUUCCCCCAAACUGCCUUUGAAAAAUCCCUAACCUAUGAGCUUUGAAUAAGAUGAGUACGAACUUCAUCGCCCAUGUGGCGUGGCCGGCCUCGUGUCUAUUAAAUUCUUUUUCUACUACAA
rnacentral:sRNA from 1 species